GAAGGGGUGACUAGUGACAGAGUGAGGGAGGGAAGAGGUGACUAGUGACAGAGUGAGGGAGGUGGUGAUUAGUGACAGAGGGAGGGAUGGGGUGACUAGUGACAGUCACCCCCUCCCUCACUCUGUCACUAGUCACUACCCUCUGUCACUAGUCAUCCCCUCACUCUGUCACCAGUCAUCCCCUCACUCUGUCACUAGUCACCUCUUUCCUCCCUCACUCUGCCACUAGUCAUCCAUUCCCUAACUCUGUCACUAGUCACCCCCUCUC